GAUGAACGCUGGCGGCGUGCCUAAUACAUGCGAGUCGAGCGAACAGACGAGGAGCUUGCUCCUUUGACGUUAGCGGCGGACGGGUGAGUAACACGUGGUUAACCUACCUAUAAGACUGGGAUAACUUCGGGAAACCGGAGCUAAUACCGGAUAAUAUUUCGAACCGCAUUGUUCGAUAGUGAAAGAUGGCUUUUCUAUCACUUAUAGAUGGACCUGCACCGUAUUAGCUAGUUGGUAAGGUAACGGCUUACCAAGGCAACGAUACGUAGCCGACCUGAGAGGGUGAUCGGCCAGACUGGAACUGAGACACGGUACAGACUCCUACGGGAGGCAGCAGUAGGGAAUCUUACGCAAUGGGCGAAAGCCUGACGGAGCAAAGCCGCGUGAGUGAUGAAGGUCUUCGGAUCGUAAAACGCUGUUAUUAGGGAAGAACAAACGUGUAAGUAACUGUGCACGUAUUGACGGUACCUAAUCAGAAAGCCACGGCUAACUACGUG
rnacentral:rRNA from 1 species